CUUUCUACUUACAACAUUCUUGUGAGAAAGAAGACUGAGGAGUAUAUUAUACAAUUUAGAGAUAAUUAGCUUAUUUUUCCAUGUCACAUAUCUAUUGCUACAGUACCUUUACUAUUUGCUAAUAAAAACUAACACUUUACAAUUGAGGACAUUCAUGUAUAUGUGAUCACCUCCGCUGGAUUUUCCAGACCUGUAGUGACAAACUCAAAUACCUUGAGAGUUCAAGUAAAAAGCAUACAUUUGUGAAGACAGGCCAUUAGAAACAUAGAAAAUGCUUUUCCCAUCUUAAGUGGACAGCUGGUGCUCAGACUCAGUCAGCAAUUUCUACACAUGUAUUUGGGUUCAAAAUAACCAGAUCUUCAGAUUUUCAGUGAAAUGUUGGAAAUGUGUAUUGCUAUCUGGAAUCCCCCCGUGUUUAAAAGCUGGCAGUCAACUAAAAUUUUGAAAAGAAAAAACACUGUUGUACCCUAAGGAUCUUUGGAUUUGGUUCCUGGGCCUCCUGUUUGCACUCUUUGCUUUUACAUCUUGUAUGCCCAAUUGGGUAGACCCAACCACUGCCAGUUGUUAAGGAUUGCUGAUAGAGUGUAGGCAGAAAGCUCUCUGCCACCUUACCUAUGGCUUAUAUUAUUUUCAGAUUGUGAGCCAGUGGGUUCAGAAUUUUUUACAGGCUCUUUAUUCUAGAUUGUUAAGAUAUCUCUAAGAAUUGUAAAGUAUAUCUUCUCUGGAUAAAGUUGGAAUUUCCAGUUUUAGGGGUUUAUAAUUUACUGUACUUUAUAAACUUGACCCAUUAUCAUGUAUAUUCUUCUCAUCAACAUAAGUAUAGAUUGCUCAUUCACUUGUCCAUUCAAAAAGUGUUUAGUGAGGGUCUCUUAUGUGCCAUGCAAUGUACUAGAUGCUGUGUAGGUGCUCAAUAACAAAUGCUAUUUGAUAAGCAGAGAAUCAACAUCUAUUCUCUUCUUCCUUAGUAAUAGCACCAGUUUAAUUUGGUAUGGUAAUAUAUUUAGCCAAUGUUGACACUUUCCCUCAUGCUUGCAUAUUGUUGUGGCCAUGUAACCAAAUCCUGUCUACUGAGAUUGUUACGGGUUGAAUUGUGUUCCCCAAAAAGAUAUGUUGAAUUUCUAAACCCUAGCACCUCAGAAUUUGACCUUAUUUGGAAAUAAGGUCAUUGCAGACAUAACAAGUUAAGAUGACAUCAUAAUGGAUAGAUGGGGGCCUCAAUCCAGUGAUUGGUGUCCUUAUAAGAAGAGAAGACACAGAAACAAAGGGAAGAAAACACCGCAAGAAGACACAAAUAAAAGAACACCAUGUGACAGCAGAGGCAGAGAUGGCCUUUCCUAUUAAAGUGAUAAAUGCUUACAAAACAGAUACCCAGCUACAUAACCAAGCAGAUUGAAUGGGACUGGGGGACAUUUCACAACAGUGAUUUUGAUUCUUCAAACUUUUGGAGACAAAACAACUUUCAGAUGAAGAAUGAAAUUUGAAGCCAGAAUAGCAUGCGAUGAAAAACAUUUUAAAUCCAUGCCUUCUUUUUGAAGUUCUAUCUUUUUGGAUGCUCAAGAGUGAGUUGGAUUUGCAGCCACAAAUCAAAUGUUCAGAAAUCCUUGGCUGUCUGAGCCUGGCGGCCCUCAUCCAGCCAGCUGGACGAUAAAACACCUGGGUUGAUUCUAUUUAUUCUGGAGGGGAGGAGCAAGGCUGUGCAAAACAACAUGAAGAAAGACUCGCCUUUGCAAAAUUGCAAUGUAUCUAAAAUUUUGUUGUCUUCUCA